UGGAUCCGCCAUCUUGCAGUAGGGGCAAUUGUAACUGAAAAAUGACGAACACAAGAGGCAAAAGGCGAGAAACCCGUUAUAUGUUCUCUAGACCCUUCCGCAAGCAUGGUCCGGUUCCAAUGUCAACCUAUAUGCGCAUCUACAAGAAGGGUGAUAUUGUGGACAUCAAGGGUACAGGCACAAUCCAGAAAGGUAUGCCACACAAGUGCUACCAUGGCAAGACUGGCCGAACCUAUAAUGUCACACAGCAUGCUGUUGGAAUAAUUGUCAACAAACAAGUCAAAGGUAAGAUUCUUGCCAAGAGAAUCAAUGUAGAGCACAUCUGCCACUCAAAGAGCAUAGACAGUUUCCUGCAACGUGUGAAGGAAGCCAAGGAGAGUGAAGCUCACUUUGUCCGAACAUUUGGAAAGGAACCAAUGAGCCAAUUCCAUAUGAGUUCCUGGCAUAA